UCUCAGGUAUUGCAGAAGAGUCAACGGAUGUCUGGUUCAGAUGCCUGAUUCCCGCUUGAUUCCUGUAAUGUCUUGGACUGCUCGAUACUGCAAUCCCAAACGUGAAGGUGUUUGUGGGAAAGUUCUCCUCCUCUCUGACCCUGCACCACGGCCCCUAGACGGAGACGUCACACUGAGAAAGAGGCUCCUGGCCCCGGCCCCGCGUUGGUGCCCAAUAAACCAAACGUUCGGCCUCAGCUAAUGAUUUAGAGCAGCAGCCUCUAGAUUAUUACCAACACCGACCUACAGAUCUCCCACAACAGAGUGAGAGGAAAUUAUCCUCGACUGGAGUGCUGGGAGGGCGAGAGGAAAUGGAUGGAGAGGCCGGUCUUAUCUGCGGGACCGCUCCGUUCCCAAAACCCCUGGGCUGAAGAACUGGAUCUGGCAGGUCCUGGGUUUACUGUGGUCCCUGACCGCCCACUACCUGCAGGGCUCAAAUAGCCUCUCUUGUGUUUUUAUGAUGCAUGAUUUGAAUUGAAAGUUCUUGUGAAACCUUCUUCUGAGAAAACAUACUUUUGCCUUCUUCAACGGCAAGUCAGGUGGCAAACGCUCCGUCGCCGUAACUCUUUCCUUGCCAAACUCAGUCUUUUAUUAUAUAUACAGUAGAAUUGCAUUUUAAUAUAUUUCUAAAAAGUUUACUAGAAGUACUUUGGUAAUAACUAUUCUUAGUAAUGUUUUUAAGAAAUAAGCUUAACACAAGCAUACUUUAAGUGAAAUUUUAGUGUAUUUACAGAAAACAUACUUAUUUUACUCUUACUCAAAGUAUAUUUUAUGUGUAUUUUGUGUAAGAACAUUUCUAUCAGAACUGAUCUAAGCCCAUUUGCUCCUUGUAAUAUUGUAUUUGUUUCACACACAGUAUUUGGUCACUCAGGUUUAAAUGAAAUAUUGCUUCAAAAGUCAGAUUUGGGGUUACUUCAUAUUACUAUAGUUUUUUAUUUUAUUUUAUUUUAUUUUACAGGCAGUUUCACUUUGUCAAGAUGAGAUGGAAAAAAAUGGCAUGAAAUUAUGAAACAAAUAUUAAUGGGAAAAAAAUCAUUUAUUGAACAAG